AUUGAACGCUGGCGGCAGGCCUAACACAUGCAAGUCGAACGGUAACAGGAAGCAGCUUGCUGCUUCGCUGACGAGUGGCGGACGGGUGAGUAAUGUCUGGGAAACUGCCUGAUGGAGGGGGAUAACUACUGGAAACGGUAGCUAAUACCGCAUAACGUCGCAAGACCAAAGAGGGGGACCUUAGGGCCUCUUGCCAUCGGAUGUGCCCAGAUGGGAUUAGCUAGUAGGUGGGGUAACGGCUCACCUAGGCGACGAUCCCUAGCUGGUCUGAGAGGAUGACCAGCCACACUGGAACUGAGACACGGUCCAGACUCCUACGGGAGGCAGCAGUGGGGAAUAUUGCACAAUGGGCGCAAGCCUGAUGCAGCCAUGCCGCGUGUACGAAGAAGGCCUUCGGGUUGUAAAGUACUUUCAGCGGGGAGGAAGGGAGUAAAGUUAAUACCUUUGCUCAUUGACGUUACCCGCAGAAGAAGCACCGGCUAACUCCGUG
rnacentral:rRNA from 1 species